rnacentral:rRNA from 1 species
CCCUGGUAGUCCACGCCGUAAACGAUGAGUACUAAGUGUCGGGUAAAACUGGUACUGAAGUUAACACAUUAAGUACUCCGCCUGAGUAGUACGUACGCAAGUAUGAAACUUAAAGGAAUUGACGGGACUCCGCACAAGCGGUGGAUCAUGUUGUUUAAUUCGAAGAUACACGAAAAACCUUACCAGGUCUUGACAUUUUCUUGCGAAGUUAUAGAAAUAUAAUGGAGGUUAUCAGGAAAACAGGUGGUGCAUGGUUGUCGUCAGCUCGUGUCGUGAGAUGUUAGGUUAAGUCCUAAAACGAGCGCAACCCUUGUCGUUAAUUGCCAGCAUGUAAUGAUGGGGACUUUAACGAGACUGCCAAUGAAAAAUUGGAGGAAGGUGGGGAUUACGUCAAAUCAUCAUGCCCCUUAUGAUCUGGGCUACAAACGUGAUACAAUGGUUGAUACAAAGAGUAGCUGAAACGCGAGUUCUUAACCAAUCUCAAAAAAUCAAUCUCAGUUCGGAUUGAAGUCUGCAACUCGACUUCAUGAAGUUGGAAUCGCUAGUAAUCGCGAAUCAGC